UUUCAGUUUUUCAUCAACGCAUGUUACGUCUUUUCUUUUAAAUGAAAUUCUCACUUCUUCAGAAAUACCAUGCAAACUAAUCAACUAGCCAAUUAGGGUCUGUCUAGCAAAAGCUAUACUAUGUGGUACUCUUCCGAGGACUUUUUUAUUUCUAUAUUGUCUCAUUUUAUUUAAAUAAAUUUUUGCUUUGGGCUAUUUUUCUAAAAAAAAUAAUUAGCAAGAGCUAUUGUAUUAUUUUAUUAUUUUUUCUCAAUCUCUCUACACUGUAAUUAAUUUCGGCUCAAUCAAGUUGAGCCGGAAUCAAUUAUGCCGUUUCCGGUAACUCAAAUUUCAAACGUAUAUUUAUUACAGCAAAUCAAAUAGCAAAAAUAAUAAUGGUUUGCGGCUGAAAGAAACUUUACCUCCUCUUUCCACUUUUCAUCUAAACAAACUUGCUAAUGUUUCCUGCGAUUUUCCUAAAAAAUAUAAAAUUAGCAAGACCUAUUGUAUUAUUUUAUUAUUUUUUCUCACUCUCUCUAUACCGUAAUUGAUUUUGGCUUAAGUUCAAUUACGUUGUUUUCGGUAACUUAAAUUUCAAACAUCUAUACCUUAACAUUAUUUCCCCUAAUUUUACCACGUGGUAGCCUAUCUUUCACCCUCAUUUGCCCCUCUUUUGAACCAAAUGGCUAAGCGGUCUCUUCGGCUUUCCUUCCCUGUAACGUCUACCUCUUCGGCUUCCCAUCUUAUUAAUUUUUUUUCAUAACGUAUGUCUUUUCAACUUCCCAUCUCAUAAUUAUUUUUUUGUAACGUCGCUACUUUGACUUCCCUCUCAUUAGUUUCUAUUUUCUAAGAAUCGUUGCCCGAGAAGCCUGUGGGUACGGCAAAUGACGUUCUCGACAACGAUCUCGCCUACUAUGUCCGCUCCCCUCAAGCCCGCAAGCGCACCGCCCUCGCUCUCACCUUCAACGUCGAGUGAGUCGAACUCUAACCCUAGCCUCGAACCUUUCUCCCUCGAUGUCGACCAUUUAUAUUUGUAAUAUACAGAACUUGCUGAAAAAGGGUUAAAAGCGCUAUGAUAUUUCACGAAAGCAUCGGUGUUAGUAGAGAAUGCCCUAAAUGAAGAUACAAAGGGGUCUGAUUUUUAUGUAACACAUUUUUUUCUCCUAUAAUUUUUUUUUCUUUCGUUAUUUUUUAUUAAAUUAUAAUUUUAUUCUAAAAGUUUUAAAGUAUUUUUUAUAUUAUUAAAUUUAAUCAAAUAUGAUUAUAUCUGCCGCAUCGCACGGGUUCCUACACUAGUAUAUUUAAUACGGCGAACCAAACAGUAAAACUAAUAAUC
rnacentral:lncRNA from 1 species